rnacentral:rRNA from 1 species
CAGCAGCCGCGGGAAUACAGAGGGUGCGAGCGUUAAUCGGAUUUACUGGGCGUAAAGCGUGCGUAGGCGGCUUCUUAAGUCGGAUGUGAAAUCCCUGAGCUUAACUUAGGAAUUGCAUUCGAUACUGGGAAGCUAGAGUAUGGGAGAGGAUAGUAGAAUUCCAGGUGUAGCGGUGAAAUGCGUAGAGAUCUGGAGGAAUACCGAUGGCGAAGGCAGCCAUCUGGCCUAAUACUGACGCUGAGGUACGAAAGCAUGGGGAGCAAACAGGAUUAGAUACCCCCGUAGUCCCUGUCUCUUAUAA